GUACCGUGAGGGAAAGAUGAAAAGCACUUUGGAAAGAGAGUUAAACAGUACGUGAAAUGUCAAAAGGGAACCGUUUAAAGUUAGUCAUGCUUGCCUGGACUCAGCCUUGCUUUUGCUUGGUGCAUUUCCAGGUUAGCAGGUCAGCAUCGGUUUUGACUGCUGGAUAAGGGUGAGAGGAAUGUGGCACCUUCGGGUGUGUUAUAGCCUUUCACUGGAUGCAGCAGUUGGGACCGAGGAACGCAGCGCGCCUUUAUGGCGGACCUUCGGGUACCUUCGCGCUUAGGAUGCUGGCAUAAUAGCUUUAAGCGACCCGUCUUGAAACACGGACCAAGGAGUCUAACAUGUCUGCGAGUCUUUGGGUGGCAAACCCAUAGGCGCAAUGAAAGUGAAUGCAGGUGGGAUCCUCACGGAGCACCAUCGACCGAUCCAGAUCUUCUGUGACGGAUUUGAGUAAGAGCAUAUAUGUUGGGACCCGAAAGAUGGUGAACUAUGCCUGAAUAGGGCGAAGCCAGAGGAAACUCUGGUGGAGGCUCGUAGCGGUUCUGACGUGCAAAUCGAUCGUCAAAUUUGGGUAUAGGGGCGAAAGACUAAUCGAACCAUUAACAGACUACAGGUGGUUAAUAGGCAGCUGAAAAGUGCUUGUCUAGUAUGGCCUACAGUGGACAUGCGACAUCUUCCAAUUGCGGGGACAUCCUAAAACCUUCAUCACCAAGCUAGCAUGGAAACGUGCAUAGUGGCCGAGCUAAUAGCCCUGGGUAUGGUAAAAGUAUGAAGGAUGUUACAAUGGACAAUCCGCAGCCAAGCUCUACGUUGCAGCAAUGCAAUAUGAGUGCAGUUCACAGACUAAAUGGAGAUGGGUGGCGUAAGCUGCUUAAGUUAUAGUCGACCCCUUGCGAGAGCAAGCCAAGUUGAGAAAGAGUUGACGGUUUCCCACUGUGUUAAUGAACCCAACUCCCGAGCUUCUUGGAGCAGAUUCGCAUUAG
rnacentral:rRNA from 1 species